rnacentral:rRNA from 1 species
CCUACGGGUGGCAGCAGUGAGGAAUAUUGGUCAAUGGGCGCGAGCCUGAACCAGCCAAGUCGCGUGAGGGAAGACGGUCCUAUGGAUUGUAAACCUCUUUUGUCGGGGAGCAAAAGACGCCACGCGUGGCGUUCCGAGAGUACCCGAAGAAAAAGCAUCGGCUAACUCCGUGCCAGCAGCCGCGGUAAUACGGAGGAUGCGAGCGUUAUCCGGAUUUAUUGGGUUAAAAGGGUGCGCAGGCGGAAGAUCAAGACAGCGGUAAAAUUGAGAGGCUCAACCUCUUCGAGCCGUUGAAACUGAUGUUCUUGAGUGGGCGAGAAGUAUGCGGAAUGCGUGGUGUAGCGGUGAAAUGCAUAGAUAUCACGCAGAACUCCGAUUGCGAAGGCAGCAUACCGGCGCCCAACUGACGCUGAAGCACGAAAGCGUGGGUAUCGAACAGGAUUAGAUACCCCAGUAGUC